ACACUCCUGCGGGAGGCAGCAGUGGGGAAUAUUGCACAAUGGGCGCAAGCCUGAUGCAGCCAUGCCGCGUGUAUGAAGAAGGCCUUCGGGUUGUAAAGUACUUUCAGCGGGGAGGAAGGCGAUAAGGUUAAUAACCUUGUUGAUUGACGUUACCCGCAGAAGAAGCACCGGCUAACUCCGUGCCAGCAGCCGCGGUAAUACGGAGGGUGCAAGCGUUAAUCGGAAUUACUGGGCGUAAAGCGCACGCAGGCGGUCUGUCAAGUCGGAUGUGAAAUCCCCGGGCUCAACCUGGGAACUGCAUUCGAAACUGGCAGGCUAGAGUCUUGUAGAGGGGGGUAGAAUUCCAGGUGUAGCGGUGAAAUGCGUAGAGAUCUGGAGGAAUACCGGUGGCGAAGGCGGCCCCCUGGACAAAGACUGACGCUCAGGUGCGAAAGCGUGGGGAGCAAACAGGAUUAGAUACCCUAGUAGUCCC
rnacentral:rRNA from 1 species